UUUCAGGUAAAACGUGCCUUUUCGGUACUUCUUGGCCGAGCCAAGAUCAAUGAUCGAAGAAGAUGGCCUCUGAACGGUAGUUCCUAAUAGCGUUUGCUGUGGGUUCGAGAUAGAGGACAUUGGGGAUAUCGAUGACUAAAGAUUGAUUUAAUAAAAAUACAAGUUAAGUAACAUUGUUGAGUAAUAGCUGUCGAUAGAAUGUUAAUAUAAUAGAAUUGAAUUUAAUAGAAAGCUCACGAGGAAGACAGCAAUUUUCAGUCUUCCUUACAAGCUCAUCGAGGUGGAUCAUUUCGACGAUAGGUACGCGAACACUUUCAAAUAUUAUGAACAAUAGAAACACGUAACAGUGUGUGAUCGCAGGAAGUUGAUAAGGGUAUCUGUAAAGAUAUUGCACAAACGCGAUGUGAAUGUUUGGGCUCGCGAAAUGCAACUUACUCUCAUGGUACAUAAAAAUCAAUCCAUUAUAAUUUGAUGGGAUGAUGUAAUUAAACAACAAUAUUUAAACAAAGCGUAAUCGUUCAAAGUACGAGCAAACAUUGAGCGAUGAAUGAUCUUCAAAAUCCUCGAGGACAAUAUCUUCGGGCAUGGAUUGCGGCAAGGUCGAAUUGAAGUCCGUCAACGCAUUAACAUAAAACGAAAAAAAACGGAGUCGGUUGAUUACGAUGAGUUCAAGGUCAGAAGGAAUCGUAAAAGCGCCAAGAACAUUAACAUUCUUCCCUCCCCCCCCCUCCCUCUGAGCACUUUUAACGUCCGUUGAUUUCCAAAUUCAACGCAUAUUGCCGCUGUCGCGACGACCAUACACGUACAGAGAGUUCUCGUGUCUUUGAACUCACCUGACCUUUCCUAGCAACAGUUCCUCUCAAUUGGAAGAUCUAGUAGAGUAUCACAGCUCGUUCAACGUUUUUCAAAGGCUACUCCGAAUCAAGUUUGUACAUGAAGCUUUUUCCACUGACACAACGAAUAUAAAGUAACAUUCUAAGAAAGACUUUGAUUAAACCGAACCCUACUACGUUUACUAUUCCGUACAAUAAAGAUGAUAACGUUGCUAGAUGUACAGGAGAAAUUUACGAUCGUUCCGUCAAUUCACAAGCUGUGCGAAUCAAUAAACUUGAUGACUCCUUGAUUCAAUUUACCGAUGGAGGUACGCAAUGGUAGGAUUAAGCGUUGUAAAUAGUGUAAUAAUUUCCGAUGGCAUGCAAAUAGUUACGCUGACAUAAGGAUAGAGUGACUCCAGUAAACGAUCCUUCAGAAAACUACGGACACAAAUGGAGAUUACUUGACGCGAACGUUUCAUAGUGCUUCAACAACACGGUCAGCGACAGUGAAUGGUCGUCGCGCGCAGCGGUUGGGUCGAAGAAUUCAAGAGGAGUUCUUCGCGUUUUCCACAUGUCACACGACCCAAUUCGUUGAUCUUACGUAAGCCGACAACAUUGAGUCAUUCAUGCUCAGCUGAUCGCAAUGCAGAGGGGACGCGUGCGCGCAAAGCCACAAUUAAUACGUGGGUAAAGGCUACCUUUUGACCUCAAGGUCGGUAUCGGCAGAUUUUAGAAAUCCCACCAGAAAUAGACUAUUAUCGUGCUUGCGUACAUUUUGCGUACGAUCGUAUUAACAAGCAUACAACAUUCUGAAAAACUUCCAAUUACACAAAAUCGUCAUUCUAGUUAUGAGAGCACAAAAAAUAUUAUUACGUAAACACAUUGAUAAAUAGGAAAAAUGCACUAAGUUAUUUCCAUGCUAUCUUUCUGCGUUUUUCUUAUUUAUCAUUGUGUUUACGUAAUUAUAUUUUUUGUGCUCUCAUUUAUAAACAAAUUGAAUGCAGAUUUUAUGCCGUCCAUAGCAGUCGCAUAACGAUCAUCGCGUGAUUACAUUCUAAAUACAGCGUGAUUACACUGUAAUCACAUCGUGACAAAUGUAUUCAGAUUAGACAUCAAUAAAUACCUAUGUACUCUUUCAACAAUGGUCUCGUUUUUCGGAAUUUAAAAAAAGAAAAAAAAUACCACUCGACUUCUCAUUUGAAUCGUCUCCUUCCUCAAUUUCACUUUCGCAACUGUCAACACUACUUUCGCAAGAUUCUGUGUCUUCUAUAACAGAGUGAUCACUUUCACUGACACUUUCGAAUUCUGAAUUAUUUUCUGAAAAUUUAAUCGCCCUCUCGACGUGACAUUAUCGCAAAUUGAAAAUGCUGCGUUGCGUUCGCUUACGCGCAACGUACGGCGCUCAUUUUGGGGAUCGUUUGCCUUUCAUUCAAGUCCGAACUGAAUUCGACGAGAGCUCGUUGUAGACAAAUGGGCACAAGUAGCCAGAGGUAUUAUAUUACGGACUAAUAUUUCGGCUUGCACAAGUGUUUCGUAUUCCACGUUUGGCUAAUUAGUGUUGAUUUUUAUUUGAAACUCCUCAAACUGAAGCCACGACUGCCCCGCGAUUAUCUUGUCAGACUCUUCCAUAUCUGUAGGAUUCGAGAACGAUGAACUGGACCUCUGGGGUUCCGAUUGCUUGGAUCGACCGAUAACGUUCGCGACACACAAAGAAUUCGGCCUUGGCCCACAUUGUCAUUGUCGGGACACUGUCAAAAAAAAAAAAAAAAAAAUUGAGCAUGUGCGUCGCCGGUAGUCAGUUGCACAAUGGAAGAAACGUGCGCCCACAAUGUUCUCCCCGGGCUUUAAUGGAGCACACUCCGUACCGUUUGUGAAUCGCGAUUAACGCGAUUCGGUAUGCUCGACAUUGUGUCCCGUUUUUUCUCUGAUGCUUCGCGCCUCGAGGCCUCCUGACCCACAUUAUUUUUCGCAACCCGACCUACCUUGUCGAGAUAUGGUGCGCGCCUAACGUCGCGUUCCCACACGCGUUAUCAGCUGCGAUUCCCUUCCACAUUUUACAGAUCGUGUGAACGCGAUCGUAGUGAAGAUUGACGGUAUCAAAUAAAAAAAAAUGAAAAAAAAAAAUAAGUAAAAAUAAUAAUACCGACAGGAAAUGAGCCUGCUAGGAAGUGGACCAAGCAUUCAGGAGGCAAUUUCGCGGGAUAAGGUAAUUUUGUUUGAUUACGCGGUUCCAUGGAUGCAACCCGGUCGUCGUAGCUGGAAAAAUAAUAGUUUGGUCGGUUCGAUGCACGAGGCACCCCCUCUCGGCGUCCUCGUCAUCGAUUACGUCCAAACGGUUCGCGUAGAGAGCAGAGAGAGGAAUUUCUGAUCGAGCCAGGCUACCGAAGAGAAAGUUUCGGCGUCGACGGGAAUUACACCCAGUCGAAAUUAUCGUUCGUCCGUGCGAACACGUCACCGUCGUGUGACAGAAGCUUUUCGCACCGCGGGUCGUCGAGCCCAAAAGGGGUAAAAAUCCAAUUAAAGAGUCUGUCGUUUCACGAAAAUUUGAUUCCUCGUUAAUUUUCACAAUUUUUCAGAAGUAACAAGGCUAAGUACCAGUCUCAUUCGUUUACUUUGAAGGAGUGACUUGGUUUCCUUUGUUUUUUUUUUUUUUUUAUUCGAGUCUAACUAUUCAGAUCGUCUGACGUAAUUCAGCAUAGAAAAACGGAACGGUAGCCAUCCGUACCAGAAGUGACUCAAUGCCGUCGAAAAGUAUCGAAGGCGUUCGAUUCCGUCUUUCCAAUUGCCCAACUUCACAAUUAGGCGAAUAUGGAAGGGCCUUCUAUCGCGCGGGGAACAGCGUGAGAUUCAAGGAGACAAACGGGGCGCAAAGGAUUAAAUUAAACAUAUUUUUCGGGUCCCGAGUUGCCGCGAAAUGUAUCCAAGGCCUCGGUAUGGGGAAAUAUCUGCGGCUACGAGAUUGGAAUAUUCAAGAGGAUCGCGUAAACACGCGCGCCUCGUACACCUUACUCAUGAACGUCAACGCGUGAUUCACGAAUCUGGUUCAUCUACUUGCGUUAAAAUUGAAUUUAACGAUGGCGAGGAAUUUCGUUGUAUGCACGGGAAAUUAUGCGGCUCGAUGAAACGAGCUGAAAAACAAGACAGCAGCGGAUGUAGCCUUAUCGAGGAACGAAGUUAAUUAUCUCGAGGGACCGCUUUCUUUCCUUAAAUAAGUAAAUUAAAAGAUCAACAAAGAAGGAGCCAUCAGGGUGUUCAAAGUUGAAGCUCAGCGUCAUGGUUGAUUCGCUCCUGGCACACGUAACACUUUCCCGCGCAUUUUUUCAUUAUGCACCAUUACGUUUCUAACGAUCCGAUAUUAUCCUUUCAACGCGUAAUCCGCGAAAGAAGAAAUCUCUUGCGCAAACUCGCGUGCUAACGAGCCGUACAGCCAAUUAAUUUUGUUAAUUUCGUUAAUUUCUGUAAGAAUUGUUUCCUUGGAAGUGGGAAGUAGCAUACCCUGUGUUUCUAGGUGUUUCACUUUUUAAUUAAUGUUAAAUGUCAACGAUGGAAAACAUUUCACAAUUUCUAUAGAAAACCCAUGGUUCCCCUGAUUUCGUGCCACUUUCGGCUCCGUAAAUGUCGAAACGUCCACUAUUGUCACGAAAUUGGUCAACACCGUUCUAGUCUUUAUCGACUUUCCCCCUUUCGAUUUUCCUAACGAUUUACGACACGCGCUGCGUGGAACGCCAUCGGUUUCUGAAGCUAUCGCAACCAGAGAUGACCAACUUUUUAUUCGCAUAACCGAUAACGAAUAAAACACAACUGUCUUUUGUACUUCAAAAUCUGCGCAAAUCAAAGGACUAGUGUACACAUUUUACGCAGGUAUGCUGCUUUGUAAUAAUUGUUGCAAAUGUGAUGAUAAAAUCGUUACCCAGCUCUGGUACCAGGUUGUUAGUUAACAUUGUCAACAACCUACUAAUGCGUUUCGACGUGUAUAAAUAUUUGUCUUCGCUUCCUUAGUAUUCAGCGUUAGUUCGUAGCAUAGCCAACCGAAUGAGAGACUUCAAAUAAAAUAUUAAAAGUUGAGCGAAAGGUGGAGUAGUUUGUAACCCACCUAACUCCAAGGAGUUAAGCUUCCUUUUGGAAUGAGUGAAUUUUAUUUUUAUGGAUGCAAAGUCAUAUUAUUUGACUAUAGUGCACCAGUCUUUCAUAUAUUCGUUCUAUAUAUAUUUUUAUUUUUAUUUAUAUAUAUUAUAUAUUUCAUAUAUAAGGUUCAAUGCACCAGUCUUUCAUAUAUUCGUUCUUUGCAUUUAAUUUUUGUUUUAUUCUUGCCCCCGAAUAUAGCUCGGGUACCUCGGGACCGCUACACCCGUACUGUAGCUAUAAUCAGACAUAGCUAUAGUACCUGAGGGCUAAUGUUCCUUAAUAAUAUAGGGUUUUAACUUUAUUUUGCCGGCACGUUAUUUACAAUAACACUUCCAUCAUACGUUACCAAUUUACGUACAACAACAUUACAAAUUUUCUUUUUCCAAAAAGACCUUUUGAAUCUUCUAGCAGACCCCUAAAACUAGUGCCAUGAAUUUUUACACAAUGUUUGCUACAGUUUAAACAGCCGAAAAAAUCACAAAACACCGAAAACCCCAUGUCGACUGUUAAGGGCUAAGUUUUCGUUUGCACCACCCGCGAAAGAUUCCAACCCUUACACGUGCGCGCGCGCCUUGAAGCUGGCAACCCGACAGUUUCGCGACAGAUUGUAGUCGGGUGGCCUAUAACGAAGGGGUAUACUCGAGUAGCAAAGGUGCUGCCGCGCAGGUACGUUUAGAGACUCAAGCAUGCCUAGGUAGUCGUUCAUGAAGUCCCGAAACGUGAACAUAUUCUCUGAUCAGCUGUUCGGAAAGAAC